rnacentral:sRNA from 1 species
GUUCGACAAGACUUGGUCAUCCACCUUGGCCUUAAGAGCACUCGUCGAAAUUUAUCACCGCUUCAUGCGGAAUUUAACUCUUUGUUAUAGGCAAUGGAGUGCAUGAUCUCUAUUGGUGAUACUUCUGGUACUUUUGCUUCGGAUUGCUCAGACUUGAUUGCUAUCCUUGAUAACCAAGACGAUUGGCUGACUUUUGCAGCGGAAUUGGCUUCAUAUCGUUCUUUAGUUUGUUUUUUCCCUUCUUUUCGUAUUAGAUUUCUUUCUCGUAGUUCUAAUACUCGAGCAGAUUGUUUAGCUAAGAAAGCUCGGGCUCGCAAUAGCCUUUUUUCCCAUGUAAGCACAUUGGUUCCUAAAUGGCUCUCUCUAGCGGAGAGUCUCUUCCCGAUAACUUAAUAUAAAUGGUGUUUGAAGAAAAAAA